rnacentral:lncRNA from 1 species
UUUUUUUUAUUUUUUCCAGUAUUUUUUUGUUUUUUGAAUUAUUUAUUUUCUUUUGAUUUUUGCUUUAUUUUUUAUUCUUUUUGCUUUUAGCUCAGAAUAAUUAUAAACUUUCUGUUAAUCCAUUAGUUUCCAAAUUUGAAUAGUUUAAAUUUCAUCCGGAAACUCGUGUGUUACAAAGGGAUUUCAUUUUUUAAACCUAAUUUGAACUCCUGACUUUUUGUGUGUUCAAAAUGCACCAUUCAAAGCCGCAUCAUCAUUUUUCAAUCCUUUCUGACUUCAUUUGUUAUUUUUCAUGCAUUUACUAAUUAUUUUGAGCUAUAAGACCCUAAAAUUGAAAAGCAUUUCAAAUGAACUCUGAAAAGGUUGAAAGUUGGCAUGAUAUCAUCAUUUCAUCCACAUAGCAUGUGCAAGAAAGUUGAGAGGGUUACGGCAAAAACUGGAUGCACUUCGUGUACAAAACGGACAAUCUCUUUCAAAGUAUCAGGAUUUCAUCCGAAAACUCGUCUGUUACAAAGGGAUUUCAUUUUUUAAAACUUAUUUUAACUCCUGACUUUUUGUGUGUUCAAAAUGCACCAUUCAAAGCCACAUCAUCAUUUUUCAAACCUUUCUGUCUUCAUUUGUUAUUUCUCAUGCAUUUACUAAUUAUUUUGUGCUAUAAGACCCUAAAAUUGAAAAGCAUUUCAAAUGAACUCUGAAAAGGUUGAAAGUUGGCAUGAUAUCAUCAUUUCAUCCACAUAGCAUGUGCAAGAAAGUUGAGAGGGUUACGGCAAAAACUGGAUGCACUUCGUGUACAAAACGGACAAUCUCUUUCAAAGUAUCAGGAUUUCAUCCGGAAACUCGUGUGCUACAAAGGGAUUUCAUUUUUUAAACCUUAUUUGAACUCCGACUUUUUGUGUGUUCAAAAUGCACCAUUCAAAGCCACAUCAUCAUUUUUCAAUCCUUUCUGACUUCAUUUGUUAUUUUUGAUGCAUUUACUAAUUAUUUUGAGCUAUAAGACCCUAAAAUUGAAAAGCAUUUCAAAUGAACUCUGAAAAGGUUGAAAGUUGGCAUGAUAUCAUCAUUUCAUCCACAUAGCAUGUGCAAGAAAGUUGAGAGGGUUACGGCAAAAACUGGAUGCACUUCGUGUACAAAACGGACAAUCUCUUUCAAAGUAUCAGGAUUUCAUCCGGAAACUCGUGUGUUACAAAGGGAUUUCAUUUUUUAAACCUAAUUUGAACUCCUGACUUUUUGUGUGUUCAAAAUGCACCAUUCAAAGCCACAUCAUCAUUUUUCAAUCCUUUCUGACUUCAUUUGUUAUUUUUCAUGCAUUUACUAAUUAUUUUGAGCUAUAA